rnacentral:rRNA from 1 species
GCUUGUCUCAAAGAUUAAGCCAUGCAUGUCUAAGUACAAGCCGCUAGUUCGGCGAAACCGCGAAUGGCUCAAUAAAUCAGUUAUGGUUCCUUAGAUCCACUCCAUCCUACUUGGAUAACUGUGGUAAUUCUAGAGCUAAUACAUGCACUCGAGCCUCGACCGAGGCCCCGGCAACGGGGUCGCGGAAGAGGUGCUUUUAUUAGAUCAAAACCAAACGGCUUCGGCCGUCUCAUUGGUGACUCUGAAUAACUUUGGGCUGAUCGUAUGGCCUUGUGCCGACGACGUUUCCUUCGAAGGUGUGCCCUAUCAACUGUCGACUGUGAUAUAGACGCUCACAGUGGUUUUGACGGGUAACGGGGAAUCAGGGUUCGAUUCCGGAGAGGGAGCCUUAAAAACGGCUACCACAUCCAAGGAAGGCAGCAGG